rnacentral:rRNA from 1 species
AACGAACGCUGGCGGCAUGCCUAAUACAUGCAAGUCGAACGAGCCCUUCGGGGUUAGUGGCGCACGGGUGCGUAACGCGUGGGAAUCUGCCCUUGGGUUCGGAAUAACGUCGGGAAACUGACGCUAAUACCGGAUGAUGACGAAAGUCCAAAGAUUUAUCGCCCAGGGAUGAGCCCGCGUAGGAUUAGCUAGUUGGUGAGGUAAAGGCUCACCAAGGCGACGAUCCUUAGCUGGUCUGAGAGGAUGAUCAGCCACACUGGGACUGAGACACGGCCCAGACUCCUACGGGAGGCAGCAGUAGGGAAUAUUGGACAAUGGGGGCAACCCUGAUCCAGCAAUGCCGCGUGAGUGAUGAAGGCCUUAGGGUUGUAAAGCUUUUUUACCCGGGAUGAUAAUGACAGUACCGGGAGAAUAAGCCCCGGCUAACUCCGUGCCAGCCGCCGCCGUAAUAC